rnacentral:rRNA from 1 species
CUUUACUGUAGCUUUGUAUUGGACUUUGAACAGAUCUGUGUAGGAUAGGUGGGAGGCUUUGAAGCGGUGCCGCUAGGUAUCGUGGAGCCAACGUUGAAAUACCACCCUGGUGUGUUUGAGGUUCUAACCUAGGUCCAUUAUCUGGAUCGGGGACAGUGCAUGGUAGGCAGUUUGACUGGGGCGGUCUCCUCCCAAAGCGUAACGGAGGAGUUCGAAGGUACGCUAGGUACGGUCGGACAUCGUGCUAAUAGUGCAAUGGCAUAAGCGUGCUUAACUGCGAGACUGACAAGUCGAGCAGAUGCGAAAGCAGGACAUAGUGAUCCGGUGGUUCUGUAUGGAAGGGCCAUCGCUCAACGGAUAAAAGGUA